rnacentral:lncRNA from 1 species
UAAAUUAUAAAAAAAAUCUAAUUACCCUUUAUAUGAAACGCAUAAAUAAUGCAAUAAUUUACUAUAAUCUUAAAUCUAUUAAACUAUAUGAAUCCUCAAUGUUUGUUGCCACGUGGCAAGUUUUUCUUCACCCUCACUAAUGUAACUCUUCUUCUUUCUAUCACUAAAUUUUCAAUAUGCAUUUUAAUGGUCCCAUUAACCAAACUUCCCAUUACCUUCCCUCCACUAUAUUUUUAAUUAAUAUAAAUGGUUCCACUACCAAACUUUUAAUUAGUAUAUUUAAAUGGUCCUACUACUAUUUACGAUCCUAAUCUCUUUAUGUUCAAUUAUUCAUCAUGUUCACUAAAUUUUUAAUAUACAUUUUAACGGUCUCAUUAAUCAAACUUUCAAUUAGUGUAUUUAAAUGGUCCCACUACCUUCCCUCUACUGUACUUUUAAUUAAUGUAAAUGGUUCCACUACCAAACUUUUAAUUAAUAUAUUUAAAUGGUCCUACUACUAUCUACGAUUCUAACCUCUAUCUCUAAUUAUUCAUUAUGGCCCAUUUUCCUCCUUCCACCGAACUUUCAAUUCUUUAUCUUCGAUUUGUUCAUCAAUUCUUUAUUUCUCAUCUUUAGCUAUACACCAUCGUCUCCUUUCCUCACUCCCUCUCUCUCUCACUAAUGUGCACCCAAUUCCUUCUUCCGCCGCGGUCGGAGAGAUCGUCGUCGCCGUCACUAUCACCAUCGCCGGAGAAGGCAUCGUCGGGUUCAUAUCUGCCGCCUGCAGUGAGAUAUUUUCGGUAGAUGUACCAAAUAAGAUACACAAGAGAAUAUUUAAUAUUUUAUUAUUAUUAAUUACUAUUAAGAUUUUUAUCCGCUGCAAAGCGCGGGUCUCUACACUAGUAAGCCUUGAAUUUGAAAAAAUUAUAAAGCUUGGUAUAGGACUUUGAUGAUGUUGUACUAAUUUCAAUAAACCCAUGCAGUGGAGAGAAGAUGAUAAUUUACCUAAUUUGAACUUAGUUAUUUUGGGAAAAAAGAGUGUUUAACUAGAUACAGAACUCCUCAAAUGUGUCAUUUCUACAUUUUUUUUAUUUAAUUAACAAAUAUUUUAUUUUAUUUUUUAAUUAUAUUUAGGAGUAUUUAUUUUAUUUUUAACUAUUAAAUAUCUAAAUGGACGAGUGAUAUAAUUAAUUAACUACUUAAUUAUUUUAAAUUGAAAUAUAUAAAAUGUUUAAUGUCAUCUAUUUAGCAUUUGAUUGGUCUUAAAUUAAUAAUUUUUAAUAGUUAGUAAUAACUAUUUGAUGAUUUUGAAAAUGGGAAGCUGCGGUGCAUGGAUGACGUGGUGAACUACGUGCAGGAAAUAAUUUGAUGGUGAUUUGUGUUUAAGCUGAAAAAAGCGAAAAAAAUCGUAAGACCCCCUCCCUUUCUCUUUCUCUCUCUUCGAACACCUCAACGGCCGACCCCACGGCCUUAGAGAGAGAGAGAGAGAGAGAGAGAGAGAGAGGAGAGAGAGAGAGAGAAAGAGAAAGAGAGAGAGCCUCUUCUCCCUCCUCCCCCCUCCGCGAUCCAUCGCACUAGAUCCGCCUCUCCGCGUCGAUCUCACCAAAAUCCGGUAUCGAUUUCGCCCUCUCCAUGUUUCGAUCCCCAUUUCUCCUCUCGAUCUCUCGCUUAAUCGCUCGUUUUUUAUCUCUAUUUUAUGGUCCGAGAUUAGGGAUUUGGGAUCGACGAUUUGGUUCUGUCGUUGUUGUUGUUGUGGUGGUUGUUGAUCGGACGCUUUUGCUAUGGCUGCUCCACCUGCUAGGGCUCGGGCGGAUUAUGAUUACCUCAUAAAGCUCCUCCUGAUCGGCGACAGCGGUGAGGGUUUCGAUCCGUUUCUCUCUUCAAGUUGUGGAUUUGAUCUGUUUUUUUUGAUGAUUUGGGAUUGAAACGUGUGUCGAUUUGCUCCUACUUUUUAUGUUUGAUGUAUUUGGGUGUUAAGCCUUUUGGCUGAGUAGGAUCUGAUUGAGCUCCCUUUAUUAUCUCGGGAUCAAAAAGGGUUCACUUUUAGAUCUUGUGAAAUGUGAACGAUGGCCCUAAUAGUAAUUACUCUGUAGAACAAAUGACAAUCUUCUCUGAUCGUUUUGUUCUUAUGUAAAAAGGGCCAACUUUGACUAUUAUGUUACUGUCGGUGUCCUGUGUGUUGGGAAAAAGGAGUGGUGUGGUUUUGGAUUUGAUUGCUCGUCACAUCUCUCAUCGAGGGCAAUUUUAGUGUUUAAUUGUGUCGAUUUUAUUCAGGUUUCCUAUCCCUCAUGCUUGGAUAUUAGUACACUUUCCUGUUGACCUGUUAGUGUUCAGAUAUUAGUACGCUUCCUGUUAACAUGCUGGUGCCCUUAAAUUUCAUGAAAAUGGCAAGCAAUAUAGUGCAUUUGGAGUCUCAGAGGAGUGUUAAGUCAGGGUAUAUAGAAUCGCAUGAUACUUGCUUCCCUCUCUUUCGGAUCUAGCUUUUCAAGGUGCCCCUCUCACUUUUGUUUCAUCCAUUUCUCUGUUCAUUUUUGUUCUUUUUGAGUGCUCUUUGCAUUGCGAGUUCUAGACAUCUUUUUUUUUUUUUUUAUAGUCAAUUUCUUCCACUGGCCCUCUUGCUUAUUCCUUUUGUUAGCUUAAAUGUCCAUUAUUGACAUCGUGUUAUUGCUUGUAAUAAUUAUACCUUUCAAUGUAGAAGCAAGAAGAAAUGAAUUACAUGAAAAGCGGAAUAUGAGUGACAAUUUUGGUAAUGCUUUCUAUGGUGACUGUGUUAAUGUAGCAAAGGAAGUAACUUGUUAUCCUCCGCAAUGACUAGAAAUUGGAAGACACAGAUUUUUUGGGUGCACCCAGGAAUUGGAGUCAUAUCUCUGAUUAAUUCUUUGAAACCUAUGAGAUAGUGUUUGACAUUUGGUUGCUCAAUCAUGAUUGUUUUUGUGUGAUGCUGGGCUACUUGCGAAGUCAUCUGACAAUUAGUUUAGUUCCUGGUUUAUGAAGUAGAUAGAUUGGAUCGUGUUUCAAAAUUCAGGCUUGACCUGCUACAUACAUGUCUUCUUGAACUUUUCAAAUUUCAACAUCUAAUCUCGUAGAACAAUUUGAUCAUUUCCUGCUGGUUGAACUCCUAUGAGUCAAUUUUUUGUUUUGCUUGAGAGUUGAGACAUGAUUGCUAGUGUGUGUUUGUGUUUAUGACGCAUCUCUGUAGCCCUUGCCUAUUAAUUCAACUCCCUAAUCAGGAAUUCCAUUUGCCUAAGAAACAAUCAGGAAUCUCACUCCUUUUUUUUGUUGUCGGAUCAGUGUUCAUUUACUUGUUGGUAAGAUGAGCAUCGACUGGUACCCUGGCUGUUUGGCCGGUGUUCAUUUAUUGAUAUUCUUUUCCCUUUUUGGAUUAUUAACUUUUUUACUUCUAGAUAUAUGAAAUAGGAAGCACAUGUAACCUUGAUCAUGUGCUUCUCACUGAAGAUUCCACUGACUGAUUCCUAAAUAUGUGGGCCUACUAUCUCAUCUGUUGCCAAUAUUUAAUUUCUCACCUAUAAAUUAUACAUUCUGGAUCGACGUCAAAGUACCAAAGUAAUAUAAAUAAGUCAAGUUUCUUUAUGUACUAGCAUUUGGCCUUCAUUGUCACAUCUGUCAUUGGGAUGAUCUCUCAGAUUUGUUGUUAUAUCAUUGUUAAAUUUUCAGUUAAUCAAGUUAUAAAGGCUUCAACAAACCAUGAAUUACUUCACCAAGUUGCCUGAGCCCUCAACUGAAGCCCCACCCCAAGUUCGAGUCAUGUUGAUAGGUCUAGAUACAAGCCUACAAGGUUUUGGGCCAUGCCAAAUCCUGUGAACUUUGUGUUGGGCUCAACCUAUGAAAGUGCAUGCCUAUCGCUAGCAUUAUAUCAAAAGGAAGCAUCCAGCCUCUUACAUCCAGUUGCGGAUAAGAGCUAUGUUGAUUCUGUUUGUAAUGGCAGAACUUCAUACUUAGUGAACUUAUAAAUGUUUUUUUCUUGAUUUUGUUGAUUAUACCUAAAUUAUAUCUUUCUUGAUUGUGAUGACUAAAUUUUUUAUGUAGUGGCUGUGAAUUAAGAGACAGUGUCUAAUCUGUUCAGAAUCUUCAGAUAGUUUCUUGAGGGAAUUUGAUGAUUGAUGUGCCACAUAUAAGUUUUAACAUAGUAAAUUUGCCACACUUCAAGCGACUUAACAUGAAUAUCUGCUUUCAUAGGUGUUGGGAAGAGUUGUCUCCUCCUGAGGUUCUCUGAUGGCUCCUUUACUACUAGUUUCAUUACCACAAUUGGGUAAGUAAUGUUUUGCACGUCAGUUUUAUUCCUAAGUUUUAUUUUUCCCCAAUUUUAGACAUCCUAUUGCUGUUUUUCUCAAUUUGGUUUUUUUUUCCAUAGUAUUGACUUCAAGAUCAGAACGAUUGAGCUGGAUGGUAAGCGGAUCAAAUUGCAAAUUUGGGACACAGCUGGUCAGGAACGCUUUCGAACUAUUACAACUGGUAGGGUUGGUUCUUCGUUAGGUGUUUUAACCAAUGGGCUGUUUUCUUUAUUUAUUUAUUUUUGGUAUUAUAAUUUGCUGAAAUGGAUUUCCAACUCUCUCACUGCAGCAUACUAUCGAGGAGCCAUGGGCAUUUUGCUUGUUUAUGAUGUCACCGAUGAGUCGUCCUUCAAUAGUAUCUGCUUCUUGCUGUUCUUUCCCUCCUUAAUAUAACUUUAUGUCUAUUUUCCUAUUUAAUUAUUGUUUCUCUUGGUUCCUGCAACCUGUAGACAUAAGGAACUGGAUUAGGAAUAUCGAACAACAUGCUUCCGAUAAUGUGAACAAGAUUUUGGUGGGCAACAAAGCUGACAUGGAUGAGAGCAAAAGGGUAUAUAUAUAUUGCUCUUACUAAUGUAAAAUUUCUUGGCUUUAUUUACUUCUGCCUCUUUGCAAAUCCUUCUCCAUUUUUUUUUUCCUGUUUAAAUUGCAUUCAUCCAGGCUGUGCCUACGGCAAAGGGGCAAGCACUUGCUGAUGAAUAUGGCAUCAAGUUUUUCGAAACUGUGAGUAUGAAUUCCCUGUUUUUUGCCCCCCUUUUUUUUGAGGAUUUAUACGAAAGGCUUUUUUUUUUCCCUUUUUUUCCUCUAUUUUUUAACCAAAUAUCAACUACCCAGAGUGCAAAGACGAACCUAAAUGUUGAACAAGUGUUCUUCUCAAUAGCUCGAGAUAUCAAGCAAAGGCUUGCUGAAACUGAUUCCAAACCGGAGGUAGAAUUAGUCAUUUUGCAGAUAAACUACCUGUUUUCUUUGCGAAUGAAGCUUAACAGUUUGUUUUUGCUUUAGGACCGUACGAUUAAGAUCAACAAGCCGGACCAGGCGGCUUCUGUGAGUGCAGAAGCACCAAGAUCAGCCUGCUGCGGUACCUCCUGAGUAAAUAAAUGGCUUUCUGGUGGUGGCGGUAGCGAUCCCAUGGAUGUUGACUGUUGCGGGAACUAAUUCUCUUUUUAUAGAUGAAUGCUUUCAUGAAGAUGAUGAUGAUGAUGAUAUGGUGAUGCAUGUAUUAUUACCUUUCCAUUCUUUUGCAAACCUUCUUUUUAGUGCACAAUAUAGUUAUCAGAAUUGUCGGAACUUUUUGUUCGUGUGCUUGGUUGGAAUCAGUGGCACAGUUCACAUGCUACAUGCGUAGCUACAUUGGUAAUGAUUGUUUUGGAUCUUUCUCGCAGCUCGUAAUUCUCUUAUAAAAUGUGCAUAGAUGUCGAACUAAUGAAUUGCUUGAUUUUUACUCUUUUCUCAUGUUGGACCUUGUUUAAUUUCCUAUGGAGCACAGCUUUUAAAGUUUGGUAUACAAGAUCUAUGUAUGAUAUAUGUAUAUAUUUUUUUCCCGCUGAUUAUAUCGAGCUCUGUUUCUGAACAAAACCGUUUUCUUUUAUAGUUUUCGCCUUCUUCUAUGGCAUGUUGCUUGGGUUUUUCUUCUGAAGGUUGUUUUAAGUACUCCCAAAAUGCACUUGUCCUUCCCAGACACACGUAACAGCUUUUAGAAAAUUAUUGGUGGUUUUUUUAUUUUUUCUCUAAUCCAAUAUAAGAUGCUUGUAGGGUGUGACACACCCAUCCAUUCAAUGUAUGAGGCGAGAUUCCAAGUCAACUGCUUUAAUUACAUAAAUUACAUAGCAGUGGUUGUUAGUUAACAUUGUUACAUGAACUCUCUUAUGUAGUAAAAGAUAUUAUAUAUUAACAUCAAUAUUAACUGCCACUCAUAUAAAAAUAAUUAUUUUAGAAACUGGGCCAAACAUGCGCUAACCGAGUUAUAUGGAACAGUAAUGUUUGAUGCAGUGUUUUUUUUUCUCUUUAAAGUAGUGUUAUUAAGAGAAACGCCACGAGAUUCGAGCAAAGGCUAGCCGAGAAACUGGGCCGGACCCAAAUUUAUCGGGCCUUUAUCCGUAAGGCCCAUAUCGGCAUAGUCAUACAAAGUCAAACUUUAUCCGUAAGGCCCAUAUCGGCCUAGUCAUACAAAGUCAAACUUUAUCCGUAAGGCCCAUAUCGGCCUAGUCAUACCAAGUAGAAAAUCACCACUGUAAACAUAGAAUUUAAUAGCUAGGGAGCACAUUCGCUACAACCUAUGCGCAUGGGGCGAUUUCGCCGUUCGUUCGAUUGAUGGAGUACUAUAUCCUACUAUCGAUCUGAUGUGAUCUAACGAAUGAGUUACAUCUUGCCAUUGGAUUAAUGAUGAGUUACUUUAAAUUAGAUCUACGUGAAAAAAAAACUUAACGGAAAUGAAUUAGUAGAUGAUAUAUAUCUUAAUUUAUACUGAAAAAGAAUCAUAUGCAGUGAAUCAAUUAAUUAUCCAACUAAUGAUAAAUUUUGAAGCAGUUUAAUUAAAAUAUAGAGCAGUAAUUUUAGAAAUUAAGAACAGAAAGUAUAUAUAGGGUUAGUUUUGUAAUACAUGACCCAAAAAGGUCGUGGCUGAGAAAGUACGACUUCUACAGUUUUUUUUUUUAUUUUUUUUUUAUUCUUCAAGCAAAUUUAUAACCAAAAUUUAAUUUCCGCCCAGGAGAACUGCAUGUAUUGUAAAAUAAUCUCUUCUUUUUGCAUGGAACUAAUAGUAAUGAUAUACAACACUCUUGAAAAGGAGAAAUAAUCUUUUAUUAUAUUAUGUACACCAAAAGCAAGCCAAAAAGAGAGUGAAUUAUUACCAGGAGAUAUAAUCUCCAUAUUCCACCCAAUAUCACAUAUUGGUUCGUAAUAAUUAGUGCCAGAGAAAUGGUCUCCUAUGGUGAUUAUUUGGCCCCAAAACAUCAUUAGCCACUCCCACAAAAAAGAGUAGGCCAAAGCAAUAAAAAAGGUAAAAGAGAAUCAUCAAUUAGAAGAUAUAAUUAGCAUAUAUAAAUAUAUAUAAACCCCCUCCUCCUUCUCCCUAACUAUAUGGUUUUUUUUUUAAAAAAAAAUUAAUAGAAAAAAAAACCCUUAAUGCAAACAACCCACCAUAGGAAUGUUAUCUACAAUCUUAAGCCCCAAAUUAAUUUUCCUACACUCCAUAUCAUUCUCCAGGGGAGUAAGGUUUAAGUCAACCCACAGCAUCCUCCUCCUCUCCUCCGGCUUCUUCUCCGCCUCCGCCUCCGCCUCUGCCGCCCCCACCGCGCGGUGCCGCCGCAUGUGGCCGCCGAGGGCCUGCCCGAUGGCGAACUCGAGCCCGCAGAUCGAGCACUCAUGCACCCGCGCCUUUGCGGGCGCGUUAGGCCCGUUGGCGGGUCCAAUAGCGUCGGUCGCGGGCCGCGGCUUUUUGUGGCUGGCCCGGUGCCCGCCGAGGGCCUGGAAGGACGGAAAUUUGCGGCUACACGUCUUGCACUCAAACACCCGCGACGCCUGCGCAGCCGCAGCCGCCACCGCCGCCGCCGCCGCUGGCGAAAAAGCGUCAGUUUCUUCGCCGCCGCCCCGCGAAAGGAGCAUCAGCACGUUGGCCGUGGUGAUGCUAUCCACGGCCUCCACUCGCUCUUCGUCUCCGAACCUAAUCCUCUUCAUGUUCUCAACACAAAUUCGCUAUUUGUAUAUAUAUGUAUAUGUAUAUUUUUGUUCCUAAAUAGAAUGAAUAUAUAUAUUCACACAUAUAAUGAAGAGUAAAAGAAACGCGUGGGGGGUGUAAUAUAUAUAGUCGCGCGUGAGGUGUUAAUUUGUAUGUGUGGCAGCAGGCCGAACCACACGCGCGACUCGGCUAGACCGUUGGACGUACGUCAGCAUGAGGGUACGAUGACGUCAGCACUAUGGAUAGCCAUAGAGAGGAAACUACACUGUUAUUGGCUGCACCCGGUGUACCCAAACGUAUCACGCACCACACGCUAAAUUAGUGUUCAAAAUUUUUAUCUUUUAAAAAAUGUCGCACGCAAUUAAUAUUUAUUCAUAGAGAUGCGGUGUAUGAGAUGUGCUUAGACGCAGAGUGCACGCAAUAAUUUCUCCACAGAGGGAGUAGUGGGUUUCUAGAAUUGGAAAUUUUUGUUUAUUUAGUCUAAGGAGUUGAAGAGAGAGAGAGAGAGAGAGAGAGAGAGAGAGAGGGAGAGUCAAAAUAAGGGUGUUGUGGUAGUUAUUGAUAGUGAGAGAUAAGUAGUAGUAGUAGUAGUAGUAGUAGUUAAUAAAUGGUAGGAGAGGACGUAGUGCAAGGGAAACGUGUAAGCGGUGGUGUCCAAGUUUUACUAGUAAAGUAGCAAGUACUAUUCUUAUUUUGUUGCCUCUCUAACUCUCUCAACUUAUUUAUUUGUUCACACUUAAAAAAGGAGGAGAUAUUAUUGCUUGCACCCUGUCUAUUUGUACAUCUGUGCACCGCCAUUCUCUAAUUUCUUUUUUUUUUUUGAGAGAGAGAGAGAAAUAGAUAGCAUGCUAUCUACUUCGUUUAUUUCAUUUAGAAAUAAACUUAGCUAGAAAUGUGAAUCAUUUAGGAUUCAAACUUGAGAUCUCGGGUACCAACCACUAACCCUUUUGUCACUUGCGCCAUUCUCUAAUUUCAAUCUGUGUGGGAUGGUAUAGUAAGUAGUUGCCAUCUCUAUCUCUCUCACUCUGGCUUGUCUCUCUCUUGUGGUUGGCUUUGUACUGCUCUUUGCUAGCAUAGUUGAUAAAUUAAUUAUCCUCUUGUGUGAGGUCGCAAUUUUGAAUUUUGCUCUCCACAAUUAUAGUGUUGUGCUUGCCCUUUUUCAUAUAUAGAUCUCUAAAGUGCAUUAUGUCCUUGCAAAAUGUAAUAGAAUAGGUGGAUAGUAUAUUUUACCAUGAUGUUGAUAAAAUUUUAAAUGAUCGAUCCACCACUAGUUAUAAUAAUGCUUUAAAUAUUUUGGUUGAUAUUAGGGAUAUUCUAACUCAAAGUGUGCAUGAUUUUUUAACAUAUGUUUGUGAGCCAAACGUAUGUGUUCAAGUUUGGCUCGAUUAAUCGUGAAUUAAUCUGAGAUAGAUUGUGUUUAACUCGAGUGUGAGCUCGACUUGACUCGUUAUGAGAAUCGUGUAAUGACAAUUUCUUUUUCUUUUCUUUUUGUGCAUUAAUUCCAAUCAAUUAAUGUAACUACAAUGAGUUAGCUACACUAAACGUUCUUGAUUGAUCGAUCAAUUGGUGAAUUUUCUAGCUUUAACUACCUAAUCAAGGACAAAUUGAUCAUUUGGGAGGGACAAUUAAUCGAUCGAUGAAAAACAACGUUUGGCUAGUGUUGAUCCACGACUAGCUUUCUAUUUGAUUCAUCGUGUUAGGUGUGGAAAAUGUGCAUCAAUCUCAUGCUCUAAUAAAUCUUAACCUGUUAAAUAUGUCUCGAAUUCUAGUACCGCAAGGUUUUCUAACCCUAUUCUGUUUUAAUUAUCCCAUUAAGUUAAGUUUAGAUUAUGCCUAAUUUAUUGAGAUAUUCCUAAUCUUAGUGGAUUUGUAUUCCUAGUUGUAUUAGGAUUUAACCAUUAUUAUAAAUAUACCCUUUAUUCCUUUAGUUUAGUGCGGAAGAUGAGAGAGGGAAUAUGGGUGUAUUUUUGGGAUUAGGGUUUUAUGAGAGAGGCAUAUUUUGUACACCACUUUGAUUAUAAUGAAGAUCUCCGCUCCGUCUUCGCCCGUGGACGUAGGCCGUUGGCCGAACCACGUAAAUAUUGUGUGCUUUAUGUUUCUUCUCUCUUUCUCGGAUCUCUUUUGGUAUUUUCGCAUCCGACGAACUAGAUCUUCUCGGUUUUAGUUCUAACAAACUGGUAUCAGAGCCGGAGUGUUUGUUUGGGUGUUUAAGACGUCGACGAAUUUGAGAUCGAGAAGUUUGAUCGCUCCAGCAGUUUCGCUCUACGACAAGUUGUCGUUCUGAUGCAACAGAGGUUGCAAAAGGCGUAGUUGGAGAUGAGAAGAUUGGCACUUCAGAGAAUCCCGCGGAUUUGCUCAUUAAGUUUUUAGGCGAUCAAGGUCAAGUAUUCCGUAAACUUGUUCGCAUGUGCAGUAGCACUUCAGGAGCUCUUGGGAUUUUGGUGGAGAAGACAUAGAAUUCAAGCCAAGGUGGAGAUUGUUAAAUAUGUCUCGAAUUCUAGUACCGCAAGGUUUUCUAACCCUAUUCUGUUUUAAUUAUCCCAUUAAGUUAAGUUUAGAUUAUGCCUAAUUUAUUGAGAUAUUCCUAAUCUUAGUGGAUUUGUAUUCCUAGUUGUAUUAGGAUUUAACCACUAUUAUAAAUAUACCCUUUAUUCCUUUAGUUUAGUGCGGAAGAUGAGAGAGGGAAUAUGGGUGUAUUUUUUGGGAUUAGGGUUUUGUGAGAGAGGCAUAUUUUGUACACCACUUUGAUUAUAAUGAAGAUCUCCGCUCCGUCUUCGCCCGUGGACGUAGGCCGUUGGCCGAACCACGUAAAUAUUGUGUGCUUUAUGUUUCUUCUCUCUUUCUCGGAUCUCUUUUGGUAUUUUCGCAUCCGACGAACUAGAUCUUCUCGGUUUUAGUUCUAACAUAACCUAGCUUAAAUUAACCACUCAUGAAAGUAUAUUGUGGCAUUGGCAUAUAUUGCACUCUAUUUAGCUUUUAGUGAGGUUUUCACCUUCAAGUUUCGUACUUUGAAGUCCAAAAGAUCGUUUUGAGAGAAAACAUAGCUGAUCAGCAAUAUACUUAAUUAACACUUUGAAGAUGUCAUCAUUAUUUCUUUAUUAUUAUUAUUAUUAUUAUUAUUAUUAUUAUUAUUAUUAUUACUACUACUUUUUUGGUAUUUUAUAGUAGAGAUGACGCCAUAUAUGAAUACCCGGCCCUAAUAUUAGUGAGUGCAAUCCAAUGUGCAUAUAUAAGUCACAUAUAUAUCACAGUAGAUAAAACUUUUGGUUUGAUGAAGAAGCUAAAAUAGGUUUUCACAUGGAUAAAAGGAGUUCUAAUUUGUUAAGAUAUUACAUACAUAAGCACAUAGCUUUUAUAGAUAGUUAGCGACUCAUUUUUUGUAAUUGUGAUAAAAUUUUGAAUGAAUAGUCCCUGCAAUCUGGAUAUUGCAACUUGAUUUCUCUGCCUAUUGUUCUUAGUUCUUACUAUUAAAAAAAAAAAGUUGACUUUACUGCACUUAAUUAAUUUCCAUGAAAAUAAACUGAGAAAUGACUCAUUUGAGAUAGAAUAUGUUUGUUGGCUAGGGACUAGAGUAAAUAUAUGCAAAAAUUUAGAGACUUAAAGUAUUUGAGUGAAGUGCAUGAAUCAAGCUACAGCAGCUGGAUUGUAUAACGAAUGUUACUCAUUCAUAUAUUUUACCUCUUUUCUAAAAAAAAAUCUCUAACCAUGUGAAACAUGGAUGAAGAUGUUACUAUUCUUUGAUAGCUCAAGCUUUUAGAGACAAUAAUUUUUCUUAUUCUUUAAUAUGGUAUCAUACUAGAAGGCCCUGAAUACGAGUCAUGCUAAGUCCAUACUGGGAUAUAUUGAAUUUAAUUUCUCUCAGUAUCUCCAUAUAUACACGUUAUCAACGAUUGUUUCAUAGUACUUCAAAAUUAAGCCGCCACGUGUCUUCUAAAUUAUUUGAUGGCCACCAAAACUUGCUUGUGGAAUCUAAAUAAUUGCAUGGCCAUUCAUCUGGUGGCAAAUCUCUGUGACUCACCAGUGUGAUUAAUAUAAUGAAAGAGGUGCUAUUCAUAAUGAGAACGUAGGUUUUGUAUUUUUAUUAUUUUUUCCCUCUUGAUAUACUGUACCAUAUACCAAUCCUUUUAUAUGUCUAUCCUAUUGGGUAGUUAGUGAAGAAUUUUUUUUCACAUACUUUGACUUUUAAUAAGCUAAAAUUACGCAAAAUUAUUAGGUUGGUGGCAAGUAUUAGCCCUUCACAAAACCCAUUCAAAGUUUACUACUAGCGUUUAGAAUAUCCGCGUGAUAUAUAUUUAUUCAUGCAUUAUUUAUAUAUUUUGACUAGAAUUACUAGGGGAAAUUUCAUAAAAUAUUGACAAGUCCAAAUAAUGCAACAGUUAUUUAUGCUAUAUAAUUGAAGAUCACACUAAUACAUGGUCACUCCUCAAAUAUGUCUAUUCGGUCCCCAUCAUUGGUGGCGCUCACACAGGGCACCCUGGGAUAUAUAUAUUUAUAUAUGUGUGUGUGUGUGUAUACAACACGUUGCCACGUUUUAGGUUAAGUAGAUAGGUUGGUGGAAUAGCUUAGCUCUAUCUCUAUCCCCUCUCUCUCUCUCUCUCUCUCUCUCUCUCUCUCUCUCUCUCUCUCUCUCUCUCUAUGCAUCUCUUUGUUUACACAUAUGUAAUUAAGUUUGAGACUAGUUUUAGUCUAAAGUGGAGAUGUCAACCCAUUAUUCUAAGUUAGUUUCGUGUGGAGUUGUGGUUCAGUUGUUCUGGAAACAGAAAGACCAAUAUUGUUUUCUGACUCGUGCAUGCUUCUCUAAUAUUUACUCUUUAGGAGAAAUUAUUGUUUAGACCUGGUCUAUAGACCAGGCAACAUAAAUGGGCUUCGACGUUAUGAAGUAUAUAGCUAUUAAUAACUUGUAUUCAAGCUAUAUAUACGACCCCACAAGCCGCAGGAUGUUCCCACACCAUAUGAAAUGAUUCAACCCGCACUCUCAUAUUAGCAAUCUGCUAGGCCGGGUCUAAAGCAGCGACUCAAAAUAUUUAACUCCAAGUUAAUUACUUGUACUAUCAGGCAGUGUUUGGUUAGGAGAUUGUGAUAGGGAUAGGCCCAUAUUCUCUCCUUUAUAUCUAAACGCUAAUUUUUUAUUCGAGAAUAGUAGUUCUCGGUUAUUCCCACCAACACCUUCAUUUUCUAUAUAAAACUAUCUAAUAUUUUUCUUAUCACCGGAAACAACCUAAUUUUCAUCUAAAUACUAUUUUUCUUAUCCCCAUGCUUGUACCUAUCCCUGUAAUAGCUAGUUUUUACUUAUACUCGAACCAAACAAUACCUCAGAGUAUCAUUGUAGACAUCAUUGAUGAAUAGAUAAGUUAAAGGUGUCUAAUUAGGAGUAUAUGUAUUAUAUUUUUACUAUAUAUAUAGAGAGAGGGAGAGAGAGAGAAUUCAGCUACUAUACUAUCGAUAGUAACAAGUUCUUGGUACUCAACCCUAGAGGACCACUAUAUAUAUAUAUAUAAUGUGGUAGGCCACUUUGGUAAGAGAUCACCACACGUAAUACUAGGGUUGGCUCCCAUCCGUUUCAAAAUAUCUGUACACAUCUCUCAGCAUCAAUAGGCUUUUCAUAGGCUUUACACACACCCCUUUUAGUUUUCUUUUUAAAAAGGUACGUUCACACCUUUUGAACUGGAAACGAGUAAGUCGAAUGCAUACACAAGCUAUUGCACUAACAAAGCUAGCUAGCUAGGAACUGCAUGAAAAGUAUGCACCAAAGUAGACGCAUACAUAUCAUGUAUAUAUGUUCUCAAUCUUCAUCUAAUUUUUUGUUUAUUACCUAAUUAUAUAUGGCGAAAAAGAGAAUAGUUUUUUUUAAGAAAAAAAUUACUACAAAUUGUUGCUCGACAUGAUCACAACAUUCCUAUUCACUGGAUUACCAUUUAUGACACAUCCUAAACGAGUCAUUUGGUCCACUCUGUUUAGUGUUCUGCAAUAGUUUUCGACUGUAUAUAAUUGAAUUUUAUUUUCACGGAUUCAAAUAACUUAUAUAGUUUACGGGCAGUUUAUAGCCGUUGACUUUUAAAUGUAACCAUAUUUAAGCUCCACUUGGAGAGUACUACAAUAGUUUAUGGAGGAGACAUGCAUUAAGUUACUACUCAAAGCUCACUACUUCAAAUAUUAUAGUGUUUGUUCUUUUUAAAUAAGAAAAAAAAAUCCAAAUAGUACUUAAUUGCUACGAUAAAGCAAAUAACGUCAGGGGUGACAUAAUUCAAAUUAAUUUUCUAUUAAUAACAACCAGUUUGCACAAGAAAAUUGUAUUUGUUGCAUAUAUCUUUUUGGGCACGAUGCUGUAGUGAUUCAUGCAUGCAUUUGUUUUGAGUUCUUCCUAUAAAUAAUGUUCAUCCUUUCACGUCGCAAUAUUACGUCAAUAAGUAUGUGAAAAAAUCAUUAAAAAUUAUGUGAACGAAUUUAUACAUGAAACUGAAAUUAAUUAAACCAUGUCCUCAAAGCCAUGGAUUUUGCUUGUUUACUAAUUGAUGGAGUUGAAAUUUAUAGAUAUUGUUCAUUCAUACCAAUUAAUGGAAUGAAAAAAUUUAUUUACUUUUGCCUCAUAAACUCUUACCGACCUACCAUAGUCUCUCUAUUAAAUGUUUCUUAACAGGUACCAUAAGAGCACUUGUUACUUGUUAGAAAAAAAAACAUUUAAGUUAUAACAAGCAAUUCACAUCUAUGAAAAUAAGAAUUGCGAAUUCAAAAUCGAUGGUAUUUAUUUUCUUUGUUAGAUGUGUAACCAUCGAUCAUAGAUGGUUCCGAUGAUCAUCGCCUUACGUCAUUUAGCAUGCGCUUAUAAUAAAUUUGUUCACACCGUAUAUAACACUACUACACCAACUAGCACAAGCUAGUAAGCAUUAAGAAAAUGUUUUAAUUAACUUAAUUGAGUUAGGUGUUCCCUGAUCCAUAGUGCUUAAUUACUUAAGGACUUAGAUAACAGCUAGUAGUUUUCGCAAGUUAUAGCCUAAUUCAGAAAAUACUCUUCCACUAAAAUUAGGAGACUUUGGAUAAUUAAAUGAACAAAAGAUUUUUCUUUCUUUUUUUUAAGGGGAGAAAAUGACCGAAAAUAUAAAAAAAAUUAGAAUUUAGGGGUGCUAAUUACAUGGUUUGCAAUAGUGGUCCAUUCUUAGAGGAAAUUAGAACUCAGCCAAAUUAAAGUAAUCAAAUGUUCAAAACAACUUUUGAAAAAAUAAAAGUUAAUUAUUAGUGCUAAAAAGGAAACCAACAGGAUCAUCAUUUUUGUGUCAUUUCCCUUUGUCUUUUCUAAAUAUCUCUAUUUCUGAAGCAAAAGUCCAACUACUUUUGGUGUGAUAGAAAGCCAAAAAUAUUUUUAAUAAAAUCUUUUGUGAGAUAUUUCCUAGCAACACGCAUUCUUUUCUACCGUCGAAUAACAUCGAUGACGCUCUAGAUUUGAAAAAGCACUAUCUUAUGGUAGGAGAAGAUGCAUCGAAGACUCAAAACUUGUUUGAUACAUAAACCUUUUUACCUUUUACUUUUUAGGAAAAGGAAAAGAUAUUCUUUGCCCUUUUUAUUCCGUAGGAACAAGUAUAAAAUGCCUCAUCUCAACAAGGAAGAUAUAGUGGAUAAGCAUUAAAGUCAAAAGAUUGAGUAGUUACAUGGCAAAGUCACAAACUACAACGUGCUAAAACUGCACCAAGAGGGGGUUUAAUUACAAGUUAGGUGUGGGAAGCUACUUGAAGAAGUCCAAACAAUUAAAGGAUCGUGGAGGGAGUUAUACUUAGCUUGCACACAUCCUGUUGUACUUCUCAAUCAUCAUUCAUCAUCAUCAUCAACUCAUCACCCAUUCAUCAUUAUCAACUCAAUCAAUUGCUUACUUGGUUUUGUUGCUUGAGGGGUAAGAACUGCUUACUCACUGUCCUUCCCCCCCAAAAGUGCUUUUCGCAAUCAAUCACAGUGAAAGAGACCGCAGUUUUGAGUAACUGGAGGAAUGUAUGCGUUCCAGGGGGUACUUUAGUGAAUUAGUAGUAGUUUAUGUUUUGCCGCCACGUGGAGCUCGUGCCGACGACUUUUUCCUUUUUUUUUUUUCCAAAUUUUAUGUGCAUAAUGUUUUUUAGGCCAUCGUUUGGUUCGGAGUUAAGAAAAAAUAGCUAUUCCAGAAAUAUGAAUAAGUUCAGAGUUAAAAUGGUGUUAAAAUUUUUUUGUGUUUGGUUGGAGGUUGGAGUUAGUCUAGGAUAGUGAAAAAAAGUGUUUGGUUGGAGUAGAUGGGAUAAGAAGAUAAUGAUUGAUAAAGAAGAAAAAGGUGAGGGAUCGGAAUGCGUGCGGGGUUAAAGUUGGGAGGGGAGUGGGGUUAAUGAUUGAUAAAGAAGAAAAAGGUGAGGGCUCGAAAUGUGUGCGGGGUUAAAAUUGGGAGGGGGAGUGGGGUUAGUAAACCCCACUAACCUGGUUUGGGGUGGGGUUUACUAACCCCACCCCUUAAGAGUGGUGUUUGGGUAUAAAUUGGGGGUUAAGGGGUUAUUCCACCCCUUAACCCCCAACUAAACGGUGGCUAGCUGAAUAGUUAUUUUAUGUAAGAAUGAAAUCAAGUCAAUUUUACUGUAAAAAAUCAAAAUGUAAAUGUCACAUCAAUGUCUAUAACUGUUGUAAGUAAGUAGAAGUUAUGAUAAAAAGAUAGAUUUGACUGCAAAGAUAACAUAUACUUGAUUGACUUGUUAUUGACUUUUUGAUAAAAUAAUUAUUACGGUAAUUGGUUUUUGAACUCUUUUUGGAGAAUUUCUAUUUGGAUCCCAUGUAAUAAAGCAGUAAGUAAUUAAAAAUUUUCUGCUCAAUGGAGAUACAAAAAAUUUGAUCAUAUGUUCCUUCAGCCAAUUUCUCUAAUACCGGAGCGUAAGAUAAUAUUGAAAUUUUGGGUAAAUUACACAAAUAGUUCGAACUCUUUUCUGAUUUUUUAACUGAGUCUCCAAUUUAUUGUUUUGUCGGUCAAAUUUUCAAAAUGCAGAAGUUUUUUCAAUUGGUUUUCUAUCGUGAAUCUUCCGUUAUAAUUGAUGGAAGAUGACAUAUAAUUAAUGUGACAUAUAAUGUGAGCACUGACUCGACACUACGUUGUCAUAGUUUUUUGAGUUAGUAACACAACUGUUACCCAAACUUUUUACGACUUUUCAAUUGGGUCUCUAAUUAUUUCUUUUGUCGAUCGAGUCCUCAACCUUUUUUCAAUUUUACUAACUACAACAGUCACUACAAUAAAAACGGUCUAUAGCGACACUUUUAAAUAUAGGUACAUGUCAAAAAAGUGCUGUUAACUAAAAUUACCGACACUUUUAAAAAGUGUUGCUAUAUGUAGGGUCGCUAGGUAUAUAGUGACAGUUAAAGAGUGUCGCUAUAACCUAAAAAAAUGCUGCUAAUUUACCAACACUUAUUUAAGCAUUUAGCAACUGCCGAAACUCUAUCUCGUUAGCUGCGGUGGCGGAGGAGGACGACAGGAAUGGCUCUUCGUCUAGAAUUUCAGUGGAUUGAGUGAAGAGAGAAGAAAAUAUGCUAAUUGAUUUUUCUUUUUUUUUUCUUUUCUAUUUGUAAUCGGGCCAAAUGGACUGGAUGUGGUGGGUUGAGUAGAGAAAUCUUUUAUUUUUGGUUGGAUUGGAGUUUAUAUUUAGGCAUUAGUAGAUGUUUUUUUAAGUUUUAGCAUAAAUGGGACACUUACUCAAAAGUGUCCCAAACAUGUGUACCUAUAACCUAAUUCUGUUGUAGUGAGUACCAUUCUCUAGGCUUCGUUUGGUUCGGAUAUAAGUAAGAACUGUCUAUUUCAGAGAUAAGCUUUGUUUGGUUCAGAUAUAUGCAAGAAUUGUCUAUUCCAGAAAUAUGUAUAAUUAAGUUUGGUUAUAAGUUUGGAAUAGACCAAUUGUAUGUUUGGAUGAAAAUUGAAUUGUUUCCGGGAAUAAGAAAAAUAGCUUUUAGAUAGAUAAAAUAGAAUAAAAAGAAUAGUGAGUAAUUAUAAAUAGAAAAUAAUGAUAUUGCCCCUUAUAUUAUAUUUAAAUUUAAAUUUUUAAAAUUUAAAUUUUAAAUUUUAAUAUAUAACUUUUAAAAUUGAAAAAAUAAAAAAAUUAAAUUGAAAAUUUUAAAUCUCAAAUUUAAAAAUUUAAAGUUUUAAAAUUUAAAUUUAAGAUCAAAUUUAAAUUUAAAAAUAUAAAAUUUUAAAUUUUAAAUUUAAAAAAUUUAAAAUAAUAAUUUAAAAUUAUAAAUAUUAAUUUUAAAAUUACAAUUUAGAAUUUUUUUAAUUUAAAUUUAAAUUUUAAAUUUAAAAAUUAAAUUUGAGUAAGAUUAGUUAAUCCCACCCUAAUUCCAAUGUAGGGGGCGGGGAUUGUUCCCUACUCCUAACGGGUUAAAUAACCAUGUUAAGGGUACCGUGGGAUUAACAAUUCCCACCCCAGAAAUUGUGUUUGGGGAUAAAGAGUGUUUGGGGAUAAAGGGGGAUAAUACCUUAUCCGCCGCCCCCCAAACCAAACGCAAGUGUCAAACUCAAACAAUGUAAGCAUAUUUUUGUCCCAUGUAUUGAUCUUGGCAAGUUUCCCAACUGAGGAAUAUUAUGAUUUAUGACUUUAGGUUUCAAAAAAAAGAAAAGAAGAGAAAAAAAGGGAACAUUAUGACUUCAUGAAACAAGAGAAUUAGAGAGACACUUAACUAUCAUGUAAAUUACAUGCAUCAUUUUAUAACUAUGUAUCUCCAUGGUAUAUAUACAUGUUUUGUUGCCUGAAUUCAUGAAUAGCUUUUCUACUCUGAACAGCAGUUUACAGAAAUUUGAGGAACAAACAUUGAAGUUCUCAAAAAGUUGAAAUGAAUACGUUGCUUUUGUUUACCAUAAAACUUUUUGCUUUGUCUUCGCCCAUGAAUGGUUGAAUACUAAAGUUAUACUACAUGUCUUUUUUUUCUUUUUUUCUUUUCCCUCUAUUCUCACUGCUCCAUCGUACUCGACAAAUUAGGAACUUUUAUUCUUUGUCGCAACUUAGUGAAGAGUUAUUUGAGAAUUUUAUUUCUAGUUAUUGUUAUUUCUAGUAACUCCAUUUGAAAAUUAAGUAGAUUUUUCGUAGUAGUAAACCUUUCUUGCAUCCCAUGUGCUAGCUAGUGAGGGUCACUUUUAAUUCAAAGCAGUUCACAAUUUGAGUUUGGAUUCAAAAAGCUAUGGAGAGAGUACUACCAAAUUCUAAACCCAAAAUAGAGGCUAAAAGUUUUUAUAUGAUCACCUCUACACACAAAACCAGGUCUAAUAAUCUGUAUGAACGGAGCUGAUUUUGUUGGAAUUUUGAUUUGACUUGGUUGGUUGGUUCAUCCGUUGAAUCCAAAUUUUAAUAAAGACCUCUUUUGAAAACUUAAAAAAAAAAAGGAAUUUGGCUAUAACAAAACUUAAUUUUUGCUUUAGUUAUCUAAAAAUACUUUUAAUGCUAGAAAAAGCAACUUAAAAUUUAAAAAAGCCAGAAAAAUUUCAAGGUGUAAUAAUACUAAAGUAGUUGGCAUCUAAAUUUUUUUUUUUUAAAAAAAAAAAAAACUAAAAUCCAGUGACUUUGGUAGAUUUAUAAGUAAAUGGAUUUAAACAACUCAACCACCAGUUUAGUUGCGAAGCUUCUUCAUCACACACCAAGUCAAAGAAAAAAAGGUACAAAAAUUAUUUUUAAUUACUAAGAAGUUAAAAACAACCAUGUGCUUAGCCUUAGCCAUUGAAAUUGACUACGUAUAUGCUGAAACUUCCUAUUCAAAUGAAUUCUCUCGUGCUUCCAAAAGCAUCUCUAAUGCAUUAAUUUGUUAGUUUACUUUUAUUAUUUUUCGUUAAAAAGGUCAUUGAUGACAUCAAAAUACAUGAUGAGAUAAUGGCGUGUGAAAUGGGUCUUAAACUCUUCAAAGUCCUAAAUUGUAAGUCAUGGUCUUUCUUUUACUCUUCUAGAAACACGAGUAGCUAAUUUUUAAAUUGAUAGAGAGAAAAAAAGCCUUUUCCACAAGUUUUUUUUCGUAGAGAGAAUUUUGGUUGACAUUGAGGGCUUGUUUGAUUCAAGGGUGAAAUUAGAAUGGAUAAUGGAAUUGAAAUGAAUUAGAAUGGUAAUUAGAUUGGCCCACUCCCCCAAAACGUUUGGCUCAUUUGUGGAUUGGAAAUUGAAAUGAGUUAUUCCUAUUUCAUUGUUUAGUUCAUAUAAACUAAAAAAUUAUAGGAUACCAUAAUAAUAAUAAUUUAACUCUCAAAUAUAAUUUUAUAUUAUUUAAAAUUUAUGAAAAACAUAAUACUAUUCUCUAAUGAGUUUUCCAAAAAAAAAAAUUCAGAUUUAUUUUUAAAAAUUUUUAUGCAAGAAAAAAAAUUAUAAAAAAUUAUAGGAUAGGUUUUUUUUAGGGGUAAGAGGGGUGAGGGAUAGGGUUUUUUUUUUUUUUGAUGAGAGAGGGGUGAGAGAUCGUAUACAGAGAGAGGAGGGUGAGAUGGUCUCAUGGGCUUCGGGAAUGAAAUCUCAAUCCGGGCGGGGAGACCGGAAUCAAGUUAAAGGCUGAUGGGCCAUUCCCAUUUCAGUCCGGAAUAGAAAUCCCAAACCGAUUCCUGCGAACCAAAAUAAAAUUAAUCGGAUUUGAUCAAACCGAUUUCCAUUCCAUAUUCAAAAUGGAUGAAUUUUGCCGUGGAUUCGGACCAAACAAGCCCUGAGUUCAGAUUUGAUUUGUUUCGAGCUUCUAAGUUUCGAAUUUUGCCGUGGAUUCGGACCCGAAACAAACCCAAUUUUCUAAUGAUUGGGCCAAACCAGGCCUUUUUGGGCCCAAAUUAAGGGUUGGAAUUUGCAUGCUAAUGUGAAUGAGGGUGUAAGCAUUUAUGAGUCUACUAAGGAACUCCGUUCAAGUCCGAGUGGCCAUUUAGGAGACAAUUACCCCAUGAAAGCCAUCUAGAUGUGAAAGUUCCCAGUAAGGAAUAAUUAAAGAAAGAAAGAAAACCAUUAAAACAAAACAAGAUGCGUAAGAUUCUACAAAAGUGCUACUUAGAAAAAAAAACAGUUCAAAAAAUCCAAAAUCUUUCAAUUAGCUUAACAUAUUUUGGCCAAAAUUAGAAGUAUAAAACUCUAAAUUGAAGCAAUUGUGAACAAUGGGGCUUAGCUCAGCUACAGUUAGCCAUUAUACAAACUCACAUAUAGCCCUUGUUUGGAAAACCGAAUAAGAAUUAUACCGAUCUUACGAUUUAGAGUAAUAAGAUAUGACAGUGCAUUUCCCUCUCCAUGAAGCAAAAACCUUGUUUAUACUUCCACUACAAUUUACUUUCACCAAAUCUAAAAUCUAUAUUGAGAAAAAUGAAAAUGAGUGCAAAGAAGCGGAGUAUCCAUAUCUAAGUCGGCAAAUUUUCGUUCAAGUACCGAGAUACCGCAUCUCUCAGUGUAACUCCAUUCUUAUCCGCCGAAUCGCAAAACUGUUGGUUAUAACUCACAUCAUGGUGUUGCGAUAAUGGCACUUCGUCCUUCGCUUUAUCCUCGAUGUCUAUUAUUAUAUUAUGCAGCAAACAGCAAACAAGAAUUAUUCUCGGCAAUCGGUGCUUAUCGGGCCGCCACAUCUCCCCCUGAAGGAACUUCCACAUUUCUUUGAAUCUUGCCAAGGCUUUUCGAGCCACCAUUCCUGUCGCCUUAAGCCGCUCAUUGAAACCGUGUUUGGCUUCUGACGUAAGCUCUCUCCCUCUGUAGGGAGUCAGAAGCCAAGGAAGAAGUGGGUACCCUUCAUCUCCAGCAAUGUACUCUCUUACUUCAGCUCCUGAGAUUUCCAUGCCUUUUCCGUUAAGCCUCAUACCUUUUUCACAUAGUUUAUAAAAGCCCGAGCUUUUUAAAACCACCGGCUUAUUCAUGCUGCCAGGCCAGCCGGUCACUACAUCUCUGAACCUCAUGGAGGGGUCCACAACGGCUUGCAAAAUCAUACUGUGGUUCUUUUCGUAAUCGAGCCACACUUUGCUAUUGGGUUCUGCCGAAGGCAAGCACAUUACAAUGUGCGUGGUGUCAAUGGCUCCGCAGCAGUUUGGGAGGCCGCGGAUUUUUUCGAAUUCGGAUUUUAUGUUUUCCAUUUCUUGAACAUUGGGCCACUUGAGGUGGUGGAGACCGCGCUGCUCCAUGGAUUCGAUGAACCGCCAGGUUAGUUGUGAGACGGUCGAGUGGUUCAAACCGAAUGAUGAGCCGACAUUGACCAGCGAUGAACCUGAGCUUAGCCUUGUUAGGGCAACGGCUACUUGGUCGCUUAUUGAGAGGGGCUUGCCAUCGCCGAAGGUAAAGUGUGAUGUUUUUGCGAUUAAGUCCUCCUUUACUAGUGAGCAUAUGUAGUCAAAUGUCUUUCUUGAGAAUCUGAAGAGACACUCAAAGUGUUGCUUGUCCUUUGAUGAAAAUAAGGGUCCUAGGCAUACAAGAGAGAUAAGAGAUUUAGUAUUCAAAUAUAGAUGGCAAUCAUGUGUAGAAGAACUACACUGAAGUUAGGAAAGUGACAUUAACUAAAAGAGAAAAAGGUAUGAUUCUUUGUCAUUCUAGAAGCUGAUGGCUAGUGCCUACACUGAACUGCUAUGAAGACAAAGUGGAUGGUUUGGAUCCCUAAUUUGCAUCUAUAGUGAUUUCAUGGUUAGAUAAUCAGAAAAAUGAAUUCAUGGUUUGACAUAUUCAACGUGAAGUGUUCGUUUCAAGAUAUUCUUCACAGAAAGCUUGUGAAAUUGUUAUCAGUGACUACUGCACAGAAACAAUGUACACCAUAUAUAGGUCAUUUUUUACUGCUUUUUUUUUGAGAAAAAUCAUUUUUUACUGCUAAAGAUAGAAAUAUAGGACCUACUUCGAAAUAAUUGUACAUUCAAUCACCUCUCACCUUGCAUUUUGUUGCAUAGAAACAGUGUCCUUACAAUGUAUGCAAGUAUUUCAGAUUAGAAAAAAGGAAACGGAAAAUAGUCAUAUUAGUAAGAGAGACUUCAUUUUCUCUUUCUGAAUACAAAAAUAAGCAGCAGCUGGAUAAGGGCUUGAUGGUUGGUACUCGAGAUCACACGUUUGGAGCCUAUUUAUUUUACAUUUCUAGCUGAGCUCAUUUCUAGAAAAAUGAACGAAGCGGAUAACAUACUAUCUUUCUCCCAAAAAAAAUAUAGUAACAUAAAAUAAAAAUAAGCAGCAUAACAAGUUGUAUUGAUAGUUUCAGAAAGGAGAACUAAAGAUGUCAAAAUGAGGGCCCAGAAUAAGUUGGUCACAACCCAAGGACAUUACGGUCCUUGGGUUUCAUAGAAUGCUACCGGGAAAGAUCAAGGGAAAAGUUAAAGCAAUCAAACUUGGGAUUCUUUCACAGGAGGUGUUUUCAACUGCAUUACAGAUUCAACUGCAUGAGAGCCCAAAAAGCUUCUUUGGCACAUUGCAAUUUUAUCCAGAGAGAGCGGUUGGCAUUAUAGAUAAGGCCUAGCUGUUGCGUCUCUACCUAUGCGCAAGUUGAAUGCAGGUGAAAAUACAAUAGUUAAGGAGAGCCAUCCUACAUGGGGAAUAAUCACCACCAGCCCACCUAUCAAAAAACAAGGAAAAAUUUAUCUACAUUGGAGAUAAUCUCAUCACCUUAUGUAUAACAUGACAAUGUCUAUAGAUACAUUGGAGAUAAUCUCAUCGCCCAACGUAUAACAUGACAAGAUUUAUAGAUGCAACUUCCGCCUGCAUCCACCCAAAUAGAAAAAUUAUAGCUGCGCCAGUCUCAACUAUAUAUAACCAAGCCUAGAGGGUGUAAUUGUAACUGCUGCAUGUCCAAUAUUAUGCAUCUCUAAUUAGACAACAUUUAUAAUUAUAUCUAACCGAACAACCCCUUGGUGAUGGUAUGAACAUUCAGGCGGUAGAGAUACCCCACGAUCCAAUAUCUGUGCUGGAAAACAAUAUCGUAUAAUAACAAGCAUAAUCUUGUUUAACUCCUAGAAUGCCAUCAUAUUUUCUACAUGUUGCCUUAUGACUACACAAGUACAAUUAUAAUAUGCGAAUGUUUACUCUUGUAGGUUCUGAUUUUAACUUACAGUCAGAACCUAUAAUAAGUGAUACUGGCUUCCAUUCGUCAGUCAACUUUGCCGUCAUCUCAGGGAUUUCUUUUUUUUAUUUAAAUCAUUGCAAUUUUUUACAGUGGGCAAGAAGAAACACUUACGUAAUCAGAUCAGCAAAAUAUGCAAUUGCAUUUCAGCUGUUUUAUAGUAAGUCAAUUGUCUACCAAAUUAACUUCUACUCUAAAUGUGUGUUUGGCUUGGUUGGAGUUAUGUAGUUUGAGUAGGGCUGUUAUAAAAAACACAAAAGAAUUUUUCAUUGGAAAUUUCUCCAAUUGCUUAUUUAACUUUCCACCACGGAAGAUUUUUAUAUUCUGUUUGCCAAAGGGUUGGCUACUAUUUAUUUACAUAGAGAAGCCAUUCUUACUGAUCCCUAAGAGUCCACCUAUAAGGUCAUAGAUAUCUCCAAGUGCACACCUAAAAAGUGAAAACUUUAUCUACAUGAACAAUCAACACUUAACCUUUUGACUCAAUUAUCCUUGUGACUAGUGGUGAAACAAAAUUUCUAUUUGACUAAGAUUGGAAGACAUUCACUUCGUCCUUAAGAAGGCAAUUUGGUUCACCAAAAUAGAGACCAAGAACAACUAGGAGUACUACUAUGAAGGUUCAAUAUGGGCUUACUUAGCUUGAAAUAGCAGUUUGAUGAUGUCAAAAAUGGAAUAAUCAAUUACAAAAGGCUGCAAAACCACCAUGGAACAAGCGCUUUGAGAUCUAGUUUGACUGGAACAAAGCUAUGGAGUAACUAAUCGUAGAUGAAGUGAUACUCUUAUUCUAGUGUUCCCUAUCUGGCUAAUCUUUUUUACUUAAAAAAUUAUAUAUAUAUUCUCUUAUUGCAGGCAGAAGUGUGCUAGCUAGUGUUUCCUGACUAGAUAAAAGCAUAAUAGUUUCAGAUGUUCUGUAGUGAGAUAUGACAUUACACAUCAUAUACAGAGGAUCAAUCAACAAAAUCACCAUAUCAGCCAACUUUAAUAUAAGAAGAAAUUUACAACUUUGACAUGGAAGGAAAGAGAUCAUAUUGAAUCAUCGCUGACUAAUACUAGAGAGCAUUCAAAGAGCCUUAUCCAUUUGGACAUUGUUAAACCAUUCUUAUGGCAAAAAAUGAAAAGGAACUGCUUUACAUUAAAAUGUAGGAUAAAAAAUGGGGCUUGUUGUCAGUUUUUACAACUUAAAUUGAGCCAUAUAAGAGAAUAAGCAGAAUAAGCAGUCUGUUGAUCAAGUUGUCUGCUUUUACUAUGAUAAAUUAAAGAGCAAAGACCAUCAGAGUUUAAGCCAAGAAUUCAAUAAACCAAAUAUAAACAAAGGUUCAAAAUAUUGCUUUUGGUUAUGGUUUCUGGUAUUCAGGCAAUGAGUGCUUUAAUUGCAGUCUUGGGUUUCGAUUCCCGAUUUCGUUAGAAGAUUCAAAUUUCCGCAAGGACCAAAAGAAAUAUAGAUAAUUGGGUCAGCGUAACAAACAUAUUUUCGCAGCAUUUUGAUAUGCUAAAGGGAUCAGUAAUGCCUCUCUUACUUAGUUACGGAGAACAUGGCUAACUUGCAUUCCGUUGUUUAUUAAAAUAUCAUGUAUGAAAAAAAUAUAAGAUAUCUACAAAUAGAUAAAGACCGGCAUGUGUAAGCUACUUUUGGCCAAUUAUGGCCUACAUACAAAAAAUAAAGCCCUCUUUAGAGUUACUUUCCUUUUAUUGAUUGAUAGACAACUCUUGACACCAAAAGGAGUUGGUUUUGGACUUUCAUUGCAUAAAUCACUGUUUCUAGAAGCAAUGGCAAAUGAAUUGAGACGAUCAUAAUGAUAUCAUCAGCAAAAGAAGUAAAAAAUUGUAAUGCUAGAAAAGAACCACUGUAAGUGUUUUAUUAUGAAAAGAAAACAGAUCCCUCCAUCAAUUGGAAGUAAAUAAAAGCUAAUGGUGGCUUCUCUAGGAAUACAUUGCUUCUGGGGAGAGUCAAAAAAAAUACCUACAUGUUAUCUAUUUGUACUUAAGAAUUCCCUGGAGCAUAAGAGCUACUCUAAAGAAACCGAAUUAAUCCUAAAUAGUAUCCACCAAUCUAUGUCAUCUAUAAGUGUUUUCCAUUUUCAACCUGACAAUUUAUUGCUGAUAAAAAAGAUACAGAUUGAGACUCGAAUUCUUUUUAUACCCGAAAUUUUUUGGAAAGAUCAGCAUAUUCAAUACAUUAAGUAAACUCGCAGAAGUCUAUAGUGUUUAUAUAGACAAUGAGCAAACUGUUUAAAAUACAUCGUUACGUCAUCAUCAACUAGCAAUGUACUGAUCACCUGUUCAUACUACAUGAUUAUUGUAAACUUCAACACAUUUAUACGCCACAAACUACGAAACCCAAAUCAGAAAGGAAAAUAAAAUUCUUCUUCUUUUUACCUUUCUCUUCUCAUCAGUAAAGUCCAGUAAUAUAGGACAUUAUCACGCAAUCAAAUGCACAGACAAGGCAUUAUAAGCAAGGCAAAUUGUGGCGCGAAAUGUCCACAAGUUCACAGCUUUAAUUCGGAAAAAUGACAGGCGUCUCAAUUGACUGUAAUGCAACAAAAAUAGCGGAAACUAUCAGUUUGAAACAACUUACCGUUCACCGUAAAGACCUUAGAAACCCUAUAAGUAGAUGUGAUUGGCCAUCUCAAACACACAAGUGACCCAAAACCUGCACUUUCCUAAUCUGCAUAGGAAUUAUGCCCUAGAUACCUCUCUUAAUCACUAAUACAUGAUCAGCUCCAAUUAAACGUUCUCAACAACAGAGAAGCACGAAUGGCGCACGUAAACACUGACCCCCUCCAUUCUAUAAAAGCGAUUUUGGCAAAACUAAGCUACAUUAAGUAAGGAUCCGAUUUUGAUAUAUAAAUUGGUAAUAGAAAAGGCAAAAUCGUAGACGGUAAUUUGUAUUCUAGUUCGCAGAUGUAAAACCAGUAUCAUUACGUUUCCUAACCAAUAAAUUGUAAUUAGUUUAAUUUCCGACUAGAAGCCUUUAUGAUAAUCAUUAUGCCCAAUCCAUCGUAUUUCCAACAUACACAAAGCAACACAAAUUACAUUCUCACAUGUAAACAAAUGUAAGAAGCUGCUUAUACCAACUAAUUCCAUUAACCCAGAGUAAACAGUAAUGAAACAGAAUCAUACAACUCUAGAGAGAGAACAUGAAUCACAAGAGAUGGAGAGAGAGAGAGAGAGAGAGACCUGUGAUCCUCUUCGAGAAGGAGUCCCACCAAUCACCACUCUCCGGGCCCGACGACAUCGGCGGGGCAUCGGCGGCGGCGGAGGCGAAGGCGCUUCUCCUCUCGGGCUUCUUCUCCGCCCUCUUCCUCUUCUUGGAGCCUCUCACAGGCCCCAUGAUCGCAGCUCCCACCACCAACAACGACAGGGAGAAGCAAAUGGCCCGAUUCAGAGCUCAAAGAGAGGAGAGAUCGAAGAACACGACCCGGGAACCACAAGGCGAAGAGGAGAACCACGGGACCCAAAAGUCCCCUGCUUGGAUUAGCAUGCGCGAGGAGAGGAGUGUGGUGAGAAGAGGCAUGCAAGAGUAUGCUCCCUGGGUAGAGAGAGAAAGAAGAAAGAGAGGGAGGGGAGGGGUUGGUAGAGAGAGAAUGUUGUAGUGAGGAGGAGAUAGAGAGGGAGAGAGAGAGAGAGAGAGAAUGCUUGUAGUAUUAUUAUGAGCAUGCAAGGAGGUGUUUUUUCAUGGAUGGAUUGUGGAUUUGAGAUGGCUACAAAGGGAGGAGAGAUGCAGCAAGAGAAGAGAGAGAGAGACAGAGAGAGAGAGAGAGAGAUAGAAAGAGAGAGAGAGUGUGUGUCUUUUAGGGGCAAUUUAGCAAAUAAAACGGAGUUUGUGUAUAAUGGGAGACUUAACUGUUCGGCCCUGCUGCACAGUACAGUAUUAUUUCAUAAAAUUUCAUAAAAAUUUAGUCUAAUUGUUAUUAUUAAAACUAGUUAUAAAAUACUUAAAACUUUAUAUUGGCCAACUAUCAUAUCACCGGACUACAAUAGUUAUGAGGACAGAUAUUCGAACCUCAGAGUGCACCAAAAUUUAAGAUUUGAGCCCCAGCUUUGAAUUUAGCAUAUAUUAAGGUUUAAGAAAGAGUAUAAAAAUGAUAAGAUUAAGAACAACUUCAAUAUAAAAAAGAAUAAUUAUUAUAAAUGAAAAAACAAAAAGCAAAAUAGAGUCAAAUAGAUUUUUUAAUAUUUUCCAUAAAAGUGUACAAAAACAAAAACAUCCUCUCAACAUGCAAUUAGCAUAAUGCCCCUAUUGAGACUCUUUUUUAUCUCAUUAUGCACAAUAUAUAUCAUUGAUUUGGGAUAAAACCUGAGUGGCGUACCAGCUAUGACAAAACUUUUUUUUUUGAAAAAUUAAAGAACUUGUAUUCUACUUUGGUUUAUAUUAUAUGAUAGCAUAGUUGGAUUACUGAGGGGAGAAGAUCUAGCUAAACCACCUUCAUGUUGAUAUAUGACAAUGAGUAGAUCAAUGUCUCUAUUUAUGGAUUUGUAUAUAAUUUUCUCUAUUUUCUUGAUGCUUUCUUGAAGAUCUAAAUUUUAUAAGAAUAUAUAGAUAUGAUCUAUCUUAGGUGACAGUAUAUAUUUUCCUUUUUGGUAAUUUAUGCCCUAAGUUGGUAAUUUUCAGAGAAUUGACCCCUUAAUGAUUCUUAUAUGUAGACUUGAGGAAUGUGGAAGGUGAGAUAAGUUGAACUAGUCCUUGCGUUGAACAAUGGGUCACAAUGUAUCAGUUUUGGAUUAUUAGUAGAUUAUUUUGCAUCUGAAUCAAUUUAGUUCAUCAAUUUUGACUUGAGUUUAAUUUCGUCUUAAAAGCUCCAAUUCCGCCAAUUCAGCCUCACAUGUUAUGGCCCUAAUAUUAAUUCGGAAAAAGUACGUCGAGCUUUUCUGAACUUUAGUACGAUUACGCUUUACCAUGUAAAUAUUAAAAAUGCUAAGAAAUUUACACAAGCACAGGAACUACACUGACAAAAUCAAAAUAUGAGAAUUUCGGCAUUAAAUACGCAAUUAAUCCUUCUAAUGUUUACAUGGUUAUCACAUGGGGACAUUGAUGAGAGUUUUCAAAGUAUUUCGCUGCAGAUCAUCACAAAUCAACUUUUGAUGCCGUUUAAUGUUAGAGAUGUAAAUAUACUCAAUGGAUCAACUAGCAAUUAAUCUGAAUCUAAUUAACCCAAAGCAUUGGGUCCAGCACCCUAAUAAGAGAUUCUAAGCUUAUCAAUUUGAGUUUGGAUUUUAAAUUUGAUUUAAUUUUUGCAUUGCAUUUGUCCAAAAGUUAAACCAUGUUAGAUUUGUAUCCAGGACAAGCCCACUGGGCCUCAUUUCGACCAGAGUUUUGGACGCACAAUUGGCUCAUUGGACUCUAGUUGGGCCUUCAUGUAUAAGCCUUAAAAAAUUCCAUUGCUGCCUCAGUUUAGACAAUAUUGUACAUUCCAAGGUUCUAUUUGUCUCCUUCAUGGAGAGUGUAGUAUUAUUUGAUAUAAUUAUCCUUUUUCUAGUGUUAUUAUUAUUAAAAAAAAGAGUGUUACUUCAAAUUCCAAUAUUCAGCGCCACGGCUCGAUUUGCUUAUCUCAAUGCCUUUAGAUGAAGGAGUUAUACGAGAAACUAUCUAACCUGUGUUAAAAAUAGGUUCUCGGGAGGGUCUUAAGGUGAGGGAACUGUAGCCAACUUCAAACAGUAAAAAAAUAAAAAAUAAAAAAUAAAAUUUGUACCAUCAUAGUAUAUAAAGAAGUUUUACAUCUUUUGUUUUUAAAAUUUGUCAACUUACAAGGGGUUUUUCGUAAAGUUACAAAUCCAAACCAAGUGGAACAUGCAUGUCACGUGCGAGCGGGUGGUAAUCAUCUUGGGCGGCUGUUUCGAAGUAGUUCAGCAACGGGGAUUUAAUGCAGGAGGGGGGAUUAAAGUCAUGGUCCAUCCACUGUACAAUCAGAUAUAUGAACGAAGAGUUAGCUGCCACGUGUCCCGAUAUUUCCGUAUCAGCCUAUCAACUGCUCGUCGAGUUCGUAUAUCCUGUGUUCUUGGGAAGCUAUUGCCUGGACCUGGUCCACCACGUAAUCUGUAGGCCGCGUCGUCAUUCGCGAACUAAUUAUCUUUGCCUUCAAAUUAUACCUUACUUUUUUUUCCCUAGUAAAUUGUAACUACCAACCAAUUAAAUACUUUAGUUAUCGUAUCAGAAAAAUAGUAUAAAAAUUGUAAGCUCGUAUAUCAUUACUUAGAGGAAUUUAUUUUUUUCGAAGGGUAAAAGUGGUGUAUGAUAGAUACUUUGCGCAGUCCAUGGUUGAUGUGGUGGACCAGGUUUAAGAGUACAAUUGGGCCCACUAAUGGGCCCUGCCGAACACAUAGGGUUGUCAUGGUUUUGGGCUUUUCUCUCUGCGGCUGAUGUGGAAAAAUAUAGGUAUUUAUAAUGGACAUUAAGAAUUAAAAAUAAAUCUCGUAUCUGUACUUUCAAUUCAGCAGUCGAAUUAACUUCAUCAGAAAUAAAUUUCUAAAUAAAGAAAAGGCUAUGACUUCUCCUUUAACUCGGACUUUUUUUUUGGGCUGGGGUUGGCCAAGUCAAUUUUCACUUGCUCUGAUACAUUUUCAGCGUAGUUAAUCAUAUUAUUUUAAUCCCAAUUCAUAUUCAAAAUAAAAUACUACUGGAUUUUUCCUGGAUGAAAUAAGUCGAAAGUGAGAUUAGUUGGGUCAGGGUGGAGCUGUGUCCAUUAUGUCCAAUUUGGAAUUAACAUAUAAACAGUGUAAAAAAUUUAGAUCGAGCAAGAACGUUACUGUUAGGGAAUGCUUUGCUAGUGAAGGAUGGAGUUGAAGGAAAAUGUUAAAGAGGAUUGAUUCAGCGAUUCUAGUUUGUAACACGGCAAUACAUGAACUAAAGCUUAAGCUUGUGGAGAAAAGCACCACAAACAACUAGACGAGAUCUUACGGCGAUGGAAUGAGGGGCACAAGUUCUCAGUCAAAUUCAUAUAUAGGAUGCUUUGCAACGGGAGUAUUAGAGAUGUUUUAUCACUUAAGAACUGGGGGCUGCAAAAUUUCAUUGAAAGUGAAGAUCUUUUUUAUAGUUAGCACUUAAGAAAAGAUUCGUCACAGUAGACAAUCUACUUAAGAGAGGGCGGAUAGGGACCAAGCUUGUGUACUCUCUGUUGACACUUGCCAGACAGUUCACCAUCUAUUUUUCAGAUGUGUGUAUAGUAGCUUUUUACUGGCCUCGAUAUUCGAGCGGUCUUGACGAUGUGUGGCUUCUUUGGGAGAAGUUGGUACGAAGAGGAAACUCUCUAACUUAUGGAUUGAACGUGUUCACGCUGACGGCAAUCUGGUGAACAAUUUGGCUAGAAAGAAACAAUAUAAUGUUUGCUCAAACCCUGUGACGAUCAUUGCGAGAAUCAAGAACCUUGCAAGAUUUUUUUUUUUUUUUUGGAGAAAAAAAUAGCAUGUUAUCUGUUUCAUUCAAAAGGAAAAUAAAUUUAGCUACAAAAUAUGGAGACAGCUAAGGCCUCAAUAAAUAAGAACGUGAAACACACGCGCGCACACACACGCACGCAAAAAAAAAAAAANAAAAAAAAAAAAGAAAAAGAAAAACUAGACACCUUGCAAGAUUUUGAAAAACAUUUUGUUGACCUUUAGUUUUUUAUUUUUAUUUUUAGAAAACUAGUUGUCAUAUAUCUAUAGCCAAGUUCAUUAUUAUCAAACAAUGAAGUUGGUAGCGUGUUACCUUAUUAUUUUUUUUUAAAAAAAAUCAGGCAAUAUAACUUUGGUGGUCCACAGCUGACGUGGCAGUCCUAUUUCACGUAAAAGUUUCUCCUUAACUACGCUCACCUUACACGUCAUUCUCCCAGUUUCUCCUUAACUACGCUCACCUUACACGUCAUUCUCCCGAGUCAACACCUAGAAGCCCAGGGGUAAGCAUCGUGACGAACUGCAUGGAGUCUAUCCAUAUUUUCUAUAUUUACGCGCGGCGCCGCGUGGGAAAAGAAAAAUCCCGUGCGCGGCACCGCACGACGGCACGAGCCACCCAAACGCCGUUUACGAACCUUCCGUCGCGAAUCUCCACGUAAAUCCAACGGUCAUAUCACAUCCCACGCGUCCGACUCGCGACCGUUCCCCUGUGUCCGCGUUUCCUCUGGUGCUAAGCAAUGACUCAUCCUCCGAAGGUCACGCGAAGCUCCACUGUGAAACCGAAAAAAAGUGCGCCCAAAUACCAACCGAGUUUCGUGUGGGCCCCACCGAAUAUUUCUUACGUGUCACUCUCUGAUUGGGCCUCGCCUUUUACUUGUUCUCCAAGUCGAGCUAGUUCGAUACCUAUAUAAAGGGAACACUUGCAUAGAGUGUGACACAAACACUGCAAGAUAUUGAGCUCUAAUGAAACCUUAUAACGACUUCAAAAUAGAAGAAGAAGAAGAAGAAGAGAAGAAGCAUAAAUAUAUGGAUACAAUGAAAACGGCGAAUCUCCUUCUAUCCCUUUCAUUGGGGUCGCAUGUGAUCGGAAAGCCGCGCAAUAAGACAAAGAGAUCGAGCACUGCAGCCGCCGCCGCCGACGGUGUCUUCGAGUGCAAGACCUGCAGCCGCCGCUUCGCGACGUUCCAGGCCCUCGGUGGCCACCGCACGAGCCACAACCGCGCUCGGUCCCGACCCGACGGUUUGAGCCUGAGCCCGCGAGACGCGUCCAAGGCGAGGGUCCAUGCGUGCGCGCUUUGCGGUGCCGGGUUUGCGAUGGGGCAGGCGCUCGGCGGGCACAUGCGCCGUCACCGGGCGACCGAAGUGGCAGAUCUUAUCGGAAAAAAUAGUGCUAUGGAGAAGGUUGUGAACUUGAAUGAGAGUUCUUUGGAGGCUGGUUGUAGCGGGGGCUCCGAGUAUCGCUUGUUGGAGUUGUUCGUGUAGUAAAAUCAUUAGCUAGUGUUUUAGUUUCUGCAUAUAUGAAACAUAGAGAUUUGUUGAUUCUUUCUUCGUGAUAUAUUUUCAGAUUUUGUUUUUUUAUAUGCAUUAUCUUUUAGUAUGGUUCACGGUGUAAGUAUUGAUCUCAUUAUAGAUGUUGAUUAAUAGUUAUGAGCUUUUUUUAAGAUUGGUGUGUGUAUAUAUAUAUAUAUAUAUAUAUAUAUAUAUAUAUAUAUAUAUAUNUAAAAGAAAUAGUUAAACCUGUCCAAAAAAUUGAAAGCUAGCUAAAUUAACUAAAUUAAUUAAUCAUAGAAGUAGAAAUAUUAUGUUUUGAAUUUCCUUUACCCAAUUGCAAUAUAUUCUAUAUUCAAAUCGAGCUCAAAAUCAGCCAUGUAUAGAAGGACGUACACUUUACUAAUUAUGAAUCUUGACGAUUUGUGUGUGUAUAUAUAUAUAUAUAUAUAUAUAUAUAUAUAUAUAUAUAUAUAUAUAUAUAUAUGUGAACACGUAUUUGAGUAUAGUAAUUAAAGUCAGCCUCUAGGCAUAAGCAUUACAGUAAUCAGAUUCAAUAAAUUUAUUUAAAUCAACUCUAUUAAGUAGUAAUAUCAGUUAUGUAAUUACAGUUGAUUCACAACAAACAAAUUAAUUAAUGUUGAACUCAAUCUUGAUAAUUCAUUAAACUUAACGCUAUUAUCGUAAUUUGUAUGAACUACAUGUGAAUUUCAUGCGCUUAUAUUAAAAGAGCGACGUUUGCAGUAGUUUUGAAUGAAAAUGUGAUUGGAUAUAUAAAAGAUUUAGACACUAGUAAUAAUAAUUGGAUUUAAGUAUUUUGAGUUGGUGUUUGGGCCUAACGAGUUAUUGUUGCUAGUGGGCUGGAUCGUUACAUUUGGUAUUAGAGCCGAUUCAUCAGCCAGAAAAUGUGUGGCAAGUUUCGGCUAAGUCAGGAUUUGAAAGACAAAAUAAUAGACGAUGUCGGAGUGUGAAUGACAAAAUGACUGGCUAUGUCUGGGUUUUGAUGAUAAGGCUAGCGAGACGAGUCUCACAUCGCUUGAUGAUCUUAGGCUGUUUGUGUGUUUGGACUGACGAAGACGUAAGGACCUAUGUGUGAUGGCUCUCGACUGAGUCAGAGUCUAAAAGAUAAGAUGAUAAGCGAUGUCGGAGUCUAAAUGACAAAAUGACCAACUAUGUAAAGGUCUGAAUGGCAAAACUAGUGAGACGAGUCUCACAUCGCACGAUGAUCUUGGGUUUAGGAUCUUAACGGAGGAGUCUGUCACAUCCCAAUAAUCUCACAUCGAACAGAAAUAAAAAUUUGAUUGGAUGUAUAAGAGAUUUAGACAUUAGUAAUAAUAAUGGGUUUAAACAUUUUAGGUCGGUGUCAGCCGGUCAACUUUCUUAUGUGAACAAAGAAGAUUUGGUGACUUGUAUUCGUGCCUGUACAUCACUUAAACACGCUUCCAGGUCAGUAGUGGCCUCCAACCGCUUUGUCUAAGUCGACAGUUAUGUGGAUGUUUCCUUACAAGUCUUAGGCUCUAAUUUAAGACCAUCUGAAAAGUGGGUGGCUUACGUACAGUUAUUUUUCUAAUAAAAAUAAAACUUUCGCAAAAUCUUGCUGCCUAAGCUAUUCAUCUCCAGAAAUUCGGAUGACAUAUCUUAGCUUUAAAUUUUAAUUUAUCACCCAAACUUUCAGAAUUGAUACUAUUAAGUUUCACCAUCUAAUUUAGAUUACUAAAUAUUGAUACAUCGUUGGCGUAAAAAUAAUGCAACAUUAUAAUUAUUGAGAUAGCAUCAAUUAACUCAUUUUUUGGUUAGCAGUACUUCAAUGAUUAGUCAAUUAAUUAAAUUAGAUUCUAAACACGCACUUUAUCCUAAUUUAAAUUCAAAUAUCAAAAUCUCUCAUUUUUUUAAGAAAAUGGUAACAUUCUACCGCUUGGUUAUUGUUUUCUAAAAUUAAAUUUAACUGAAAAUAUGAAGCAAGUAAGUUUGAAAUUUGAAAACUUGAAUAAUAAUUUUCAAAUUGCUUGCCACUUGCACUAGAAAUGGACGUUUGGUAUCAAAAUAUCUGUGCUUGAAAAAUUGUGGGUUGGUUCUUGGGUGAAGGUGUGGACCCGGUUCACCGAAUGAAAACAGUCGUCGGCCACCGCGGCGCGAACCGCGUAACGCAAUAUUUCUGCGGUGUGAAAACGCUGAACCCGCGGAAAAUGACCACGAAGCAAAUUAACCCAUCUACACGUUUGAAACCUUCUUGUGGGCUCACAUUACCCCGAUGUCACAUGUCUCGUCCUGAUUGGACAAAUUCUCCAACUUCCUCCCCAAAAGACUGGUCCACGAACAACGUGGCACGUCCUAAUUGGUGGAGUUCCCUUGCUUCCUUUCCAUGCAAAAAAAAGUCUAAAAUACACCAAUUAUAUUACUGAUAAUACGAUUAAUCUUUUUGGAUUCACUUUGUUCCAUCAUGGUUAUUAGAAUUUUUUUUUAUUAUAUUUUUCUCUCAAGUAGAGAAAUAUGAUUGAUUUGUUAUUGAUAAUAUAGUGUAAGUGUUACAUUGUAAGUUUUCUUAACUACAACAUGCAUGUAGUUAUUGAGAACUGAGGAACCAAAUACAAAUGUGCAUGUAUAUCAACCCCUUUCUUUUGAGUAAUAAUAAUAUGUUUAGAGCUCGAUUUGAAUCACAGGAUUCACAGCAGAGGAGAAAAGGAAGAGAAAAGAGCAGUUUGAAACAAACAUUCGUGAAUAUCGCUUGCUGGAGCAGUUUCUAUAGGAGUUUGAUGCGAUGCAAAUUCUUUUAUAAUUAAUUAGAUUUGUUGUUUUGAUCCUUCGUUUUGUCGCUCGAGUUCUAAAAGUUUGAUGUGAUAAAACAUGAACUCAAGGAAUAGAUAUAGAAACCGUGAAGUACAGCGUAAAAUCAGCUUUACUCUCGCGUUUUAUCUAUCUAUAUCUAUAUAUAAAAAAGCAAUUAAUAGGAUGAAAAAUGAUGUAGAGAAAAUCUCAGAACAGGGUGCAAGAAUUUAAUAACAAUUAUCAAAACAUGUUAAUUUGAUGAUGGAUGUAGAGCUACUAAAAUCAACAAAUUAAGGAAUAUAUAUAUAUAUAUAUAUAUAUAUAUAUACACAGCAUGAAAUAGAUUUCUCUCUCCGAUCUUCUUUUCGCGUUCCCUUUCAAUUUCUUAAAUAUCAUGAACGCAUCAACUGAUUCAGUAUAUGGAAUCUCAGAUAAUAAUAUUUCAGACAACAUUGUAAAACUGCGAAAAAACAUGAACUUAUAGAAUCUCACUGAAAUUCAAUUACGCAAGGCUAAAAGAAGCAUGCAUGAUGCAUCUGCUUCAUACAGAUAGUUAACUCAUCCAACAUUUCCAAUCUAGUUAGUAUUCGGUGUUGCGCUUUCACUCUCAAAUAGCUCAAAUUUUCUUUAUUGUUUCGCCUUUUCCUGUCAUUUAAAAAUUUUCAGCUACCUAGUGAAUCUCUCGCCCACAUUUGCGCUGCGCGCGAUGGGAAUGUACCCUUCUUUCGUCGUCCUCGGCUUUCGCGGCAUGCAUCCAGCAUCUGCACCCUCAGUUCCCUUACAAAACUCAAGUUUCACCCCACUGCUAUGCAGAAUUUUGUGAAGAAGUGGUCGGUUUGAUUAACUUAAACAACAAAAACAGAAAAAGAAUAGUUUCCGCGCCAACUCUUUAUUCGGAGUACUCCAUCAUCUUAUUCAUGCAAUUUUUGUCUCUCAUUUCUAAUCUCAUCUUCCUCAAGUGCGUUACUUUGAGAACAAACACACUGCAGGUUCAUCAAAAGUAAAUUGAACGGCGAAACAAAUGCCGAAAGAAACAGAGAGAGCUUGAACUUUACCUAUUGACAUUGCAAGACGAUGAUCUCUUCAACAGUGAGAGUUCUCCUGCACCAUUUUCUCCGAUGCUCUUCGCCUCAAUCGAGCUCCCACCGUAGUACUCCACAGAAGAAGCAGGAAUGUUAUUUACUGCUUCUUUCACCGACACUGAGCUGCAGGGGAUCAGAUUCAUUAGGACCGUCGAAGCCCUGAACCUGCCGCUCAAGCAACCGCCUGCCGUCCGAUCCCCGUCGACCCGCGCAGUCGACGAGGCUGUUUUGAGGGGCGGUGGAAGCGCCUCCGGGCUCGACGACAAGCACGGCGGCGGCGAGAUCUCCUCCCUCCGGAGCUCCGCUCGACAGUUAGAGUAGUCGGCAAUGCAAUCCUCUCGCGCUCUCCACGGCGGUCUCUCCUCCGUCUGCGUCGACGCGUCGGCCGAUCCGACAGCCGUCUCCGCCGUUAGCCCACGAGAGUUCGGCACUGUAUCGGUUUUUCGCGAAUUGUGGAAGCCGAGAUCGCCUCUGAUGGAUUUGGAUGCGUCGAGAGGCUUCUCCGAGCUGGACGAAGAGGAAGCGGUCGCGGUGACCGAAGACGAGGCGGCGGUGGGAACGAGCUCCGUCCCCUUGAGCACGUACUCGUUGCUGUGGAUCGGAGGGAUCAAAUCGUCGUCGGAGAGGUCGUGCCACACAUAUCCGUUCUUGUAGGCUCUGAAUCAAACAGUUGGAGAUCAUCAACGAAGCAAGGGAGAUAAGAACUUCAUGUGUAAAGAUCUUCUCAAACAUUUUUCUAUUUUGACAUGCCUCCUCAACUUUGAUUUUUUUAAAAAAAAUUUAAUUGACAUUUUCUAUUGAUAUCGUUUUUCCAUUUCAAAAUGGCAAAUAAUUAAUAGUUUAGAGAGUGUUGAUUUUUAUUAAUUAAUCAAUCCAGCAGUUAAUUAACCAGUCAAUUAAUUAAGUAAUUAAUUAAUUAAUGUUACCGUUUGGAAGACCAGGAGUACAUUGCCCCCAACCACUGUCCCCUGAGAACGUUGAGUCGGUUGAUAAAAUCUGAGGAGAGAAAUGUAAUUAACUAAGGAAUUAGUGACAAAAAAAAAAUUAAUAGCUAAUUUUUUUUUAAAAAAAUGGAACUUUUUUUUUUUUGUUGUUCCAAAUUUGGUGAUUAAUGUUUAAUACCUCUGAGAAAGAGACCUUCGUCGGAGGAGUAGGUGACUUCCAUGUAGUGGGGAUGCUCCAAGUGAUUGUUCCUUGAGAGGUAGUAGACGACGGCCGCGACCGCCACGGCUUUUUUCUUAUCCGAUGAUCUCCGCGGCGGCUUCGGCUCGAUCCACACCUUCGCCCUCUCCGGGCUCGCCUCCGCCCGCUCCCUCUGAUCACCGGGGAGCUCCGCGCUUCCCCGAGAAGCAGAAGCAGAAGCCAUGGAAAUUAAGAGAGAAAGAGAACAAGUUGUUAGUAGAAGAAGAGCGAGUGAAAUAGGAUUAUAGGGGGUGGGGGAACAUUCAAAUCGGGAGGGGGCGGGACAAACCGAAACUAUUGCAUGAACCCGGUGCGCCGUGCUCCGUACUUGUGAAACCUUAUCGUAAAGGUUUUAGAACUUUGUAUUUAGUUUAUUUGAUGUGUUAUAUGAUAUUCGAAAGAUAAAUUUACCAGAAAAGUGUAAAUUUUAAACAUCAUUUCUCAUCCAACAAACAACUUUUUUUUUAUCGUUAAUUUCCAAAGCAAUUUAAUGCCUGAAUGAUAGUCUUCUAGGCACCGUUUGGUUCGGAUAUAAGUAAGAACUAGUUAUUAUAGGGAUAGGUACAAGUAUGGGAAUAAGAAAAAUAACGUUUGGAUGAAAAUUGGAUUGUUUACGGUGAUAAAAAAAAAAUAACGUUUAGAUAGAUAAUAUAAAAUAAGAAAAAUAGUGAAUAAUUAUAUAUAGAAAAUAGAGGUGUUGAUGGGGAUAAUUAUACCUGAUUAUUAUAGGUAACCGAAAAUUACUAUUCUCGAAUAAAAAAUUAGCGUUUGGAUAUAAAAGGAAAAUAAGGAGUUAUUCCAUCAUUAUCUCCAAUCCAAACGCAACCCUAUCUUUUUGUACGCAUGUUCUUUACAUGUUAAUGUUUAUAUUUUGACAGGUGCUUUACUAAUCUUAACGCUUUUAACUUAUUUUAAGAUGCUUAUUAUCUAACAUUGCGUGUGGUUCAUGAAUAAUCAUGGGUACGUACACCUGGUGUUUUUCAAACUUUCUAUUAUUCCGAUUAAAAAAAAGGGUAAAGUUAAAAAGGGCGAGAAUGGAAUGGAUCAAAUGAUAGUGUUGCAGGGAGCAUGAUAUUUUUGUAUGACUUUAUAUCAUCCUAAUACUUUUUAAUUUAACUAUUACUAACUCCAACGGUCUAGUGAGUUUGAGUUUGACUGAGGAUAAGAAGGGGGAGGAGAAAAAGGGCGGGCCACAUUUUCAAACAAACUGUAGCUGUUUGGUAAAGUGGAUUAGAGAUGGAGUUGUACCUCACAACAUUAGUUUGAUUUUGGACAUCAAUAACAGUGCCUCGUUGUUGGAGCCCAAAAGUCAAAAUGUACAGAAACCCAACCACUCCAAAAUUAGUACACCACUACAGUAUUGACCUCGAACCUCUCAUAAAACAUUACUGAUACACUGACCUGCACAUAGAAUAUGCAGUAACUAUUUUUUACGUGGGACAAUUGCUUAUGUAUUUCUGAAAAAUUUUCGACUUUUCGAUUUGCACCUCUUAGAAGACUAAUAUUGAAAAAAAAUUUUCUUCGUUCCAACCUAUUUCUAAUAUACUCUUAUAGUUAAAAUCUGUUAAUUAAGUCUGUUAUCUCUGUAAAAUUAUUAUUUUAUCCUUUCAAAUAUGUUUUUCCACCGUCAUUGACUUUUUUAUUUACCCUUAAAGUCAGGGAUAUAAAAAGUAUUUUGACUUUUGAUCUUUUCUAAUGUACUCCUCUACCGUCACCAAUAUUUCUUAUUUGCCCUUAAGUUAAGUGUAAAAUUGACAUUUUAAUUUUUUUAAACCGUGGUAGAUAUUUAACUCACGUUUAACCCAAGUUAACUUAACAGGAGAUAACUUCGGGGGUAUUUUGCAAUAACGGUGGAAUAUAUGAGGGGUAUUUUAGAAAGACAAAAAAAAAUAAAGAUAAAUCGGAUAUUUUCAAACGUAUGAGAGGUUUGUAGGCAAUUAUCCCUUUUUACAAUAGCGUCGUCAACACAUCAAAUAUCGUUUGGUGUAUAGUAAUCAAAUUAAUGAGCCAGGAAGAGUAAUGCUUCGAGCAUUUAAAUUAAUGUUAUAAAGUAUUGAUAAUUAGUCAGUAUUAUACAUAUGACAAAUAUUAGGUAACUAGUAUUUUUUAGACUUUAUCUCGUAUCAAGUGUUUUAGCUGAAGUAAGUAAAAUGAAAUAAAACACUGAUGAACGAAUCACUUGUUGAUGCGUAGACGGAUAGACGAAUACCGUAACAUUGUGGGGUACCUUCUGGGGUGCAUGUUGCAAUUACUCAGCUACAUAUCUGGGGACUCUGAUUGUCCUGGGUACGUUUGACUUGUAUAGUAUCCUACUAUUUUUAUCACUAGGUGAUUGAUUCUCUCACACCCAGAUUAAAAGAACCUUGCUCCAGAUCCAGAUCUGCACAAAAUCCACUGAAGCAAUUCCACUGAUUCUACUGUUGAAGUGAAACACCACAAUAUACAAAUGUAAUCCAUUCUAUUUAAUUCAAUGUCCCCUCAUUCAAGCUAUUAAAUAUUAAGAGGAGUUAGGUGAAUUUUGAAAGUUGCCAUAUUUGUAAGCCUUUGAAUCUUUAGUUUUGAAGCACUUUAGAAAAAAGAUUUGUGUAGAGUAAAGAGGGGAGGGGACAAGGAAUCAGAUGAGCAUAUAACGACAAUGCUAUUUAUCAAUAAAGGAUUUAUGAAUUCAAAUGGUGCAAAAGAUAAUGAUCUGAAUCAAUGAGAAACCUACUCCCAUGAUGCUUUAAAUAAAUAGUUGCUGGACCUCAUAAAUGACUCUUCAUAUUACCAUCAAUAGUCCAAUAAGUCAUUCCACCUAGCUAUGCUUGAUUUACAAUUACAAAUUGAAAUAUGACACCUCUUGAGAUAAGUUGAAAAUCUGAUUUUUAUGUAAAACUGUUUUGAGUAAACCAUAAGGCUAGCUCCUUUGAUAUUAGGGGAAGAAUGCGUUACGAAUGAUCAGAAAGUGCGAUGAAAAAAUAUAGUUCAGUCGCUUCCGUUAAAAAUAUAGCACUUUGUGGAUCGCAAUGAUCCAGUUACGAUAUUAUUUUCGUAAUUCCAUAAGAAAAUAAAAAAGUAUAUUUAUGUAUAGUCUUCAACUUCUUUUGGUUCAACAGAGUAAAGUAGUUCUCAAUACAAAACGGGCCUAAGACAAAUCAUGGGACUUAUUUUGCAUAUGUAACUAUACAUUAUGAGCAGUAGUACCUGUUACCAUAUCUCAACUCAUUUUAUAAAAUUUUACAUUUUGAUUCAAAAUUUUCAAACCAAUUUGAGAUAGUGGUGAAGCAUUAAGUGACAAUUUUUUUUUUUUUUGAGUAAAAACACUAAGGGAGUGUUUGGAUUGACGAAUCUCUAGAUCCAACAUAACUUAAAUGUAGUGGUGUUGGAGUUUUCCUAAAAUAUAGUUAUUUUUUCGUUGUCUAUUUUGAUGUAAUUCAUACAAUCUAAAAAUUAAAUUUAAGCACUUUUUGGCUUGUUCUGAUGUAAUUUGAUGCUAGAGUAACUAGUUUUUUGAGUUCUGUUGUUUAUUUUGAUGUAAGUAAAUAAAUUUUAUUACCUUCUAAAUGUAGUGAUAAAUUUAUUCUCAUAAUAUCCAAAAUAUUAAAUAAUUAAGUUCUCCCUUAAUAUUUAAAGGUAAUUCUAACCUAUUGUAAAGAAAGUUGAGUUUAGGUUUAAAUAUUUAAUUAAUUUUUGAGAAAAAUGUCGAGUGCAGUGAAAAUUGAGUUCGGCACUCUAGAGGAGAAAGUUAAAAAUAGAUGAAGUAGAGAUCUAACGUAACUUGAGUUAUAUUAUUGUUUUAACUUAUACCAAAAUAAAUACCGAAAAUAAUGAAACUUGAGUUUCACCUUUUUACUUCAAAUUAAACUGCUCAUAAGUGAGAAUUAAUAUGGGCUUUCAUGAAGAGAUUAAUUGAGACAGGCCAAAAAUGCAGAGUUUUUUUUUUUUUUUUUUUGGGUUACUUCCAAUUUCUUUUAUCUGUCACUGUCACUUCAAAUGAGAAAUACAAUAGCAUAAUAAUCGUGCAAAAAUUAAGGAAAAAAAAUAAACAGAAAAAAGGCAAAAAAACUCGACGAAAAAAAUCUUCUCCUUAUUGAGCUCGACUCAAGAUUAGGAUGAUCCGGCUCAAGUUCGAGUCGAUUAGAUAACAAACUCGAGCUCGAGCCUAAAAGUUACGAUUCCUCUUAAUAGUCCCACAUCGGCCACAAAACACGAUUACAGAGUGUGCGCACUAUAAAUAGAGGACACCCCCCAACGUUUAGUUUCAUACCUUUCUCGGCCUUUUGGCUAAGAUCAAGUGUAGUAUCUGUUCUUAUCAGUUUAAUAUCUGAUACGUGGGCCAUGUGCCCACCUCGAUAUUAAAUUAAUUUUUCAGUGGGGGAGGGCCCAUCGACAGUAGCUUGCUACUGGGGCUCUCGUGCGUCGCCCUCGCGUUGCACUACUGCGUGGGCCUGGCGCACCCCUACCAAAACUUAAGCCACAAAUCAUUCGACCUUGUGUAGGGCCUAAAAUUAUAAGGGCUCUUAAUCUAAUUUUACAUUUGAAUCCCUAGCUUAUAUUGAGUUUACAAGAAAAAUCCCGAAGUUCGGUUGUGUUUGUUUCACCAGGGUGAAGUGAUUUUCAAUUUACUUUUCUUGUUUGGUUCACAAUAACUUUUCUUUCGUAGAAAUUGUAAUUUUUGUAAUUUUCGAAAAUAUCGUAAUUGACUUUGGUCUAUCCUCAAGCUAUAGUUAAUUACAGUUAAUUACGACUUCAUCAUUCACUUUAUGCCGUACAAAUAAGUACAAAUAAAUACAAGUACAAAGACUUCAGUUCUACAACUAUACAAACAAAUAACGAGAUAAAUAAUUUUUAUAUGAAUUCUACCUUAUCAAAAC